rnacentral:rRNA from 1 species
AAUCCAUAGGUUAAUGAGGCGAACCGGGGGAACUGAAACAUCUAAGUACCCCGAGGAAAAGAAAUCAACCGAGAUUCCCCCAGUAGCGGCGAGCGAACGGGGAGGAGCCCAGAGCCUGAAUCAGCAUGUGUGUUAGUGGAAGCGUCUGGAAAGGCGCGCGAUACAGGGUGACAGCCCCGUACACAAAAGCGCAUGUGCUGUGAGCUCGAUGAGUAGGGCGGGACACGUGGUAUCCUGUCUGAAUAUGGGGGGACCAUCCUCCAAGGCUAAAUACUCCUGACUGACCGAUAGUGAACCAGUACCGUGAGGGAAAGGCGAAAAGAACCCCGGCGAGGGGAGUGAAAAAGAACCUGAAACCGUGUACGUACAAGCAGUGGGAGCACCCUUUUGGGUGUGACUGCGUACCUUUUGUAUAAUGGGUCAGCGACUUAUAUUCUGUAGCAAGGUUAACCGCAUAGGGGAGCCGGAGGGAAACCGAGUCUUAAUUGGGCGUUAAGUUGCAGGGUAUAGACCCGAAACCCGGUGAUCUAGCCAUGGGCAGGUUGAAGGUUGGGUAACACUAACUGGAGGACCGAACCGACUAAUGUUGAAAAAUUAGCGGAUGACCUGUGGCUGGGGGUGAAAGGCCAAUCAAACCGGGAGAUAGCUGGUUCUCCCCGAAAGCUAUUUAGGUAGCGCCUCGUGAAUUCAUCUCCGGGGGUAGAGCACUGUUUCGGCUAGGGGGCCAUCCCGGCUUACCAACCCGAUGCAAACUGCGAAUACCGGAGAAUGUUAUCACGGGAGACACACGGCGGGUGCUAACGUCCGUCGUGAAGAGGGAAACAACCCAGACCGCCAGCUAAGGUCCCAAAGUCAUGGUUAAGUGGGAAACGAUGUGGGAAGGCCCAGACAGCCAGGAUGUUGGCUUAGAAGCAGCCAUCAUUUAAAGAAAGCGUAAUAGCUCACUGGUCGAGUCGGCCUGCGCGGAAGAUGUAACGGGGCUAAACCAUGCACCGAAGCUGCGGCAGCGACGCUUAUGCGUUGUUGGGUAGGGGAGCGUUCUGUAAGCCUGCGAAGGUGGCCUGUGAGGGUUGCUGGAGGUAUCAGAAGUGCGAAUGCUGACAUAAGUAACGAUAAAGCGGGUGAAAAGCCCGCUCGCCGGAAGACCAAGGGUUCCUGUCCAACGUUAAUCGGGGCAGGGUGAGUCGACCCCUAAGGCGAGGCCGAAAGGCGUAGUCGAUGGGAAACGGGUUAAUAUUCCCGUACUUGGUGUUACUGCGAAGGGGGGACGGAGAAGGCUAUGUUGGCCGGGCGACGGUUGUCCCGGUUUAAGCGUGUAGGUGUGUGUUCCAGGUAAAUCCGGUUCACUUUAACACUGAGGCGUGACGACGAGGCACUACGGUGCUGAAGCAACAAAUGCCCUGCUUCCAGGAAAAGCCUCUAAGCAUCAGGUAACAUCAAAUCGUACCCCAAACCGACACAGGUGGUCAGGUAGAGAAUACCAAGGCGCUUGAGAGAACUCGGGUGAAGGAACUAGGCAAAAUGGUGCCGUAACUUCGGGAGAAGGCACGCUGACACGUAGGUGAAGUGAUUUACUCAUGGAGCUGAAGUCAGUCGAAGAUACCAGCUGGCUGCAACUGUUUAUUAAAAACACAGCACUGUGCAAACACGAAAGUGGACGUAUACGGUGUGACGCCUGCCCGGUGCCGGAAGGUUAAUUGAUGGGGUCAGCGCAAGCGAAGCUCCUGAUCGAAGCCCCGGUAAACGGCGGCCGUAACUAUAACGGUCCUAAGGUAGCGAAAUUCCUUGUCGGGUAAGUUCCGACCUGCACGAAUGGCGUAAUGAUGGCCAGGCUGUCUCCACCCGAGACUCAGUGAAAUUGAACUCGCUGUGAAGAUGCAGUGUACCCGCGGCAAGACGGAAAGACCCCGUGAACCUUUACUAUAGCUUGACACUGAACAUUGAGCCUUGAUGUGUAGGAUAGGUGGGAGGCUUUGAAGCGUGGACGCCAGUCUGC